AUGAUCACCGGCGGCCAGAGCUACGUCUCGGCGCCGCCGGCCUUCUCCGCCGACGGCCGCUUCCUCCUCGUCUGCUCCGGCCGCUCCGUCUCCGUCUUCAGCACCUCCACCGGCAUGCUGGUGUCGGAGCUGGAGGGGCACGAGGGGGACGUCACCGCCGUCGUGAUUGUGCCGCCGCAGAGCAACGCCGCGGCGGCCGCCAAGCUCGCGACCCACUGCUGGACGGCGGGGCUCGACGGUUUCCUCAUCUACUGGGACUUCGCCACCGCCGAGCUGGUGCGGAAGGUCAAAGUCGACGCCCCAGUCCACUCCAUGGUGAUUCCCAACAUAAGCAAAAAAUUGAAAGUGACCGAGGUGUAUUUUCCUUUCGCAUUCGUCUCUGUGGAAGCUUUGAGCAACAAGGCUAUUCAAGAUAAGGCAAAGGGCAAGCCAGUAACUAAAAAGAAGGAAUUGUUGGGGCAGCUGAGGAUUUAUGACUUGUGGAAAGGGUGCCAAGUGGGUUCUGAACUGGCUCAGACACGGAAGCCAGAAAAGAUUGUCGUGAGUUGUUCUGGAGAAUUUUUGGGCAUUGCAAAUAAGAGACAUCUCUAUAUAUGGAGCAUACCUACCAAAGAUUUCAACUAUGCCAAUAUAAGGAAAAUAAAGCUUGGUCACACAAAAGAGUUGAGCACCCUGGCCUUCCAUCCAAGCGAGAGAAUCGUUGCUGGUGGUGAUGCAACAGGGAGGAUCUUAAUCUGGAGAGGUUUUGGAAAGGCCAAGUUUUCUGGAACACAUGGUGCAAAGUCUCAAGUUGAUGAGGAAAGGGAUGGUGUAAGGGGUAAAGAUGAUGCGGGUACUUGCACUACAUGGCACUGGCAUUCUAGCGGAGUGAACUUUCUCAAAUUUUCUUCCGAUGGAGCUUACUUGCUCUCAGGUGGUAUGGAGGGGGUUAUUGUUGUAUGGCAACUAGAUACUGGAAAGAGAAGGUAUAAGCCACGUCUAGGAUCUCCUCUUCUGUUCUUUGUAGAUUCUCCAGACUCUUCCAUUUCCUGUGUGUCAUGUACAAAUAACCAAGUUCAUCUUCUAAACAUGCCUAACAUGGAGGUCCUGAAAACCGUUUCUGGAAUUAAGCUGCCUAUUGCUUCCGCGGACUUGAGUCGACGAGAUGUAUGUGGAUUUGAUUCCACUAAUGGCCUUGUUGCUAUACCAACACAAGAUUACUGCAUACAAUUCUACAAUUUGUUCGAGAACACUGAGGUUUCAGAGGUGCAAGUGUGUGAGAGGAACUUUCAGCCUGUUGACGAUAUUACGAUGUACAUUUCUUUAGUUUCAUUGUCCAUUGGUGGCAAUUUAAUGUGCACUGUGGAGGUCAAGCUUCCUGAAGAAGAAUUAGGUGGCCUUGUUACACUGAAAUUUUGGAACCAAGGGUCUCGUGCUGGACAAUUUCAUCUCUCCACUGUCAUUUAUGAGCCUCACAGUGACGCUGGGAUUUCCGCCGUUGCUUUCCAUCCAGGAAAAAACAUGGCCGUGAGUUCUUCGUUUGGUUGCAACUUCAAGGUGUGGGUUCAAAGUUUGUCUUUACAAUCAAGUGACGGAAAAAGUCAAUCUGGUUGGAGAUGCCAAUCAGUUGGCUCAUACAAGAAGAAACCGAUGACAGCUGCAGCCUUCUCAGGUGAUGGAUCUGUUCUUGCGGUUGCAGCUGAGAGCGUCAUUACACUCUGGGACCCUGAUAAUAAUGCACUCGUUGGCGUGAUUGCAGAAGCACUAUCGCCCAUUACAAAACUUUCUUUCGCUGGGGAUUCGGCUUAUUUGAUGUCUCUAUCUCAGAGUUCAAAACCACAGGUUGCUGUGUGGAAUGUGUCAAAUCUUUCCAUGCAAUGGUCUUACACCCUUUUCGCAGAAGCUGCAUGUUGUUCGUCAAGUAAGAGUGAAUUUGCGGUUCUUUCUCUUCUAAGCUGUCCUGAAGGAGGAGCACCAGCAGAGCAAGAUGGGAUAAUACUGAUUUUCGAUGCAGAAAAUUCAAAACCCGUUUCAUCCUGGUCUGUAAAGAAGGCAAAAGGGGGUAGCAUUGCUUUUGUGAAGAAUGACCUCUCUUUGGAUGCAAACACUGAUGACACAAGAGAUGGAGAGGCUUCAUUGCUGGUUUACUUAAAUGGUUUACAUGAAUAUGUUAUCUUUGAUCCCCGCAACAACGAGGAGCAACAAAUCAGCCAGAACACACGGAAAAACAUUCAAGCUGAUGAACCUGCACCAAUCGGUUAUGCUUCUAUUUAUGGAGAACUUCCAAAACUGGAACUGAAGAAAGAGGUUUCGGAUAUCCCAUUUAUCCCAUCAGACAGACCCUGGGAAACUAUAUUCACUGGAUCAUCUCACGCUCUCCCGCCUCUCACGAAACUGUGUUCUGUUUUCUUGUCAUCAUUGCUGGAGAAGAGACCAGUGACAGACGAGUGA
rnacentral:rRNA from 1 species